rnacentral:rRNA from 1 species
CCUACGGGAGGCUGCAGUGAGGAAUAUUGGUCAAUGGGAGAGAUCCUGAACCAGCCAAGCCGCGUGAGGGAAGACGGCCCUAUGGGUUGUAAACCUCUUUUGUCGGAGAACAAAACCCGGGACGUGUCCCGGACUGCGUGUAUCCGAAGAAAAAGCAUCGGCUAACUCCGUGCCAGCAGCCGCGGUAAUACGGAGGAUGCGAGCGUUAUCCGGCUUUAUUGGGUUUAAAGGGUGCGUAGGCGGUCCGUUAAGUCAGCGGGAAAAUUGCGGGGCUCAACCCCGUCGAGCCGUUGAAACUGGCAGACUUGAGUUGGCGAGAAGUACGCGGAAUGCGCGGUGUAGCGGUGAAAUGCAUAGAUAUCGCGCAGAACUCCGAUUGCGAAGGCAGCGUACCGGCGCCAGACUGACGCUGAGGCACGAAAGCGUGGGGAUCGAACAGGAUUAGAUACCCCUGUAGUC